CCCUUAGAUGUCCCGGGCCGCACGCGCGCUACACUGAUGCAUUCAACGAGUUUUACCUUGGCCGAGAGGCCUGGGCAAUCUUUUAAACCUGCAUCGUGAUAGGGAUAGAUUAUUGCAAUUAUUAAUCUUGAACGAGGAAUUCCUAGUAAACGCAGAUCAUCAAUCUGCAUUGAUUACGUCCCUGCCCUUUGUACACACCGCCCGUCGCACCUACCGAUUGAAUGGUCCGGUGAAGCCUCGGGAUUGUGGCCAGUUCACUUUAUUGGGAGUUGGCUGCGAGAACUUGUCUAAACCUUAUCAUUUAGAGGAAGGUGAAGUCGUAACA
rnacentral:rRNA from 1 species